UGUCGAUAGCGUAAAAAUUAACACAAAUUUGUUUAACGUUGGAACGUUUGCCUACGCUUGCCGCUAGGGGCGCUGUUCCAACUGCAUACAAAUUUGAGUUAACUUUUACGCUAUCGA
rnacentral:pre_miRNA from 9 species